rnacentral:rRNA from 1 species
AUGCACGCUGGCGGCGUGCCUAAUACCUGCAAGUCGCGCGCACGGACGAGAAGCUUGCUUCUCUGAUGUUAGCGGCGGACGGGUGAGUAACACGUGGAUAACCUACCUAUAAGACUGGGAUAACUUCGGGAAACCGGAGCUAAUACCGGAUAAUAUUUUGAACCGCAUGGUUCCAAAGUGAAAGACGGUCUUGCUGUCACUUAUAGAUGGAUCCGCGCUGCAUUAGCUAGUUGGUAAGGUAACGGCUUACCAAGGCAACGAUGCAUAGCCGACCUGAGAGGGUGAUCGGCCACACUGGAACUGAGACACGGUCCAGACUCCUACGGGAGGCAGCAGUAGGGAAUCUUCCGCAAUGGGCGAAAGCCUGACGGAGCAACGCCGCGUGAGUGAUGAAGGUCUUCGGAUCGUAAAACUCUGUUAUUAGGGAAGAACAUAUGUGUAAGUAACUGUGCACAUCUUGACGGUACCUAAUCAGAAAGCCACGGCUAACUACGUG